rnacentral:rRNA from 1 species
GACGAACGCUGGCGGCGUGCUUAACACAUGCAAGUCGAACGGAAAGGCCCUGCUUUUGUGGGGUGCUCGAUUGGCGAACGGGUGGGUAACACGUGAGUAACCUGCCCUUGACUUUGGGAUAACUUCAGGAAACUGGGGCUAAUACCGGAUAGGAUCUCCUGCUGCAUGGUGGGGGUUGGAAAGUUUCGGCGGUUGGGGAUGGACUCGCGGCUUAUCAGCUUGUUGGUGGGGUAGUGGCUUACCAAGGCUUUGACGGGUAGCCGGCCUGAGAGGGUGACCGGCCACAUUGGGACUGAGAUACGGCCCAGACUCCUACGGGAGGCAGCAGUGGGGAGUAUUGCACAAUGGGCGGAAGCCUGAUGCAGCAACGCCGCGUGCGGGAUGACGGCCUUCGGGUUGUAAACCGCUUUCGCCUGUGACGAAGCGUGAGUGACGGUAAUGGGUAAAGAAGCACCGGCUAACUACGUG